CGAAUCUCAACCCCAACUGAUAACAGCUUAUUCCACCAAUAAUUAAGAAAUCCAUGUCUGCGUGCUACAACAGCCAAAGAACAAUCAAGCUAGCUUUUUACCAUUAUUCACAGUUCUGCGUCCUCAACAACUACGGUAAAGAUUCAGUCCACAAUGUUGUGCCACCAGUGCCAUUAUAUAUUGCUGGAACAGGACAAGGCACAAGUAAUUCUUCACAUCAAGUAACGUACAUUCAAGUGACUUGGAGGCAAUUCAAUGUGGCAGAACCGAGGCAAGGUGAGGAAGACAGAGGUUCGAUUGUUUUAAACACUGUGCCAAAGGCCAAAUCAAGGCAGCGGGGUCCUGGCACCAGAGCAGACUGAUUCAACUGAACUCAAUGUUUGGACGGAGAUGCAAGCGCAAGGCCAAAUCGAAAAGGUCAGAUACAGACCAAAUCAAGGCGGCGAGGGCCUGGCCCAACAGUGUAUCAAGGCAAUGGAACCCAAUGAUUGGACGAUGACUUAGGCGCUGGGCCAAAUUGAAAAGGUCAGAGUGUCAGGGCCUGAGGCAAUGGUCAGGCCAUUUCAGAUCGCUGCUCCACGACUCAGCUCUGCGUUGAACUAUGAAACUCUUUGCAGACCUUAGUUCAGAACACUAUUUGCUUGCAGUUACUGUUUGCAAUACUGUUUGCACUGCUUUCUUUCUGCAAUUUGGGUUUUCGAUGGUCUUCCCUUUUUUAAAAAUGUGUGUUCUUCUGGGAUUCUUUGUUUUGUGGCUACCUGUUAGGAGGGGAAUCUUCAAGGUUGCAUAAUGUACACGUACAUACUUUGAUAAUAAAUGUACUUUGAAGAAAGAAAGAAAGAAAGAAUUACCCAUGUUUCCAACUCUGGUCACCAUGAGAUAACCACUGUAAGCAUUUCACACUUGUAAACAGCAGAUGAGCACGAGAUUAGGGCCUGCCAUGAUCCUUCAAUCAAGGAAUAACUGAUGGUUACUCAUUUUCUGCACAUAAAUAUGUCACCAAGGAAUAGAAACGGCAAUAUUAUCUACUGCAAUUACACCCAAUGACUGUUGGCAUCACGAAAAGAAGAAUGGACAAAAGUAGAAUUAAACAAUAAGUCUAUUCAGAGCAAGAUUCCAAGUGAUGUAAUCAAAUGAUAUUUAUUAAUCACUCAAGCUUUGUUCCAACUUGCUGAUAUCAUCUCAACUACUUGACUCGAUUAAAAACCCUGUAAUUUAGAGGUUUCCAUUAUCCCCCACAUAAUGUGCAGGAUUCUGUCUGUCCUGGUAAAAACAAUCCGUUGUUUAUUUGUUUGAAAGCAAUCAUUUCCUAUCAUCUGAUAAACCACAUACUUUACUUUUUUCCCCUCCAAAAUUCCCUUUUUAGGUUAAAAAGUAAACACACGGAUAAACCUCAGUAACGCUAACGAUGGUGUGCACAAGUCACGAGAUCUCAGAAGGAACAGUCGAUAGCACCACCUUACAAAAAUGAAAACAACAUACAGUUGAGUUGGCCUCUGCCUGAAAUAGUGGCCACUUUAUUAGGUACACCUGCUUAUUAAUGCAAAUAUCUAAUCAGCCAAUCAUGUGGCAGCAACUCAAUUCAAAAAAGCAUGCAGAAAUGGUAAAACAUUCAGUUGCUGUUCAGAACAAAUAUCAGAAUGGGGAAGAAAAGUGAUCUAAGUGGCAAUGAUCAUGGAAUGAUUGUUGGUGUCGGGCCAUAUGGUUUGAGUAUCUUAGAAAAUGCUGGUCUCCUGUGAUUUUCAUGCACAACAAUCUCUAGAGUUUACAGAGAAUGGCACAAAAAACAAACAUCCAGUGAGCGGGCAGUUCUGUGGGUGAAAACACCUUGUAAUGAGAGAGGUUGGAGGAGAAUGGCCAGACUGGUUCAAGCUCACAGAAGGUGACAGUAACUGAAAUAAACAUGUUUGGCAACAGUGGGGUACAGUAGAGCAUCUCUGAAUGCACAACACAUUGAAUCACAAAGUGGAUGGGCUGCAGUGACAGGAGACCACAAUUGUACACUCAGUGGCCAAUAAAGUGACCACUAACUGACCACCUAAAGUGACCUCUGAGUACAAAAUCUCAGAUAUCUGACAACUUUAAUUAUGAUAAGCUGCACGUGAUCGACGCUGUGGUGCCACCACGGCGAUUAUCGCGGGAAAUUCA